rnacentral:rRNA from 1 species
CACGUAGGCACCAAGCGUUGUCCGGAUUUAUUGGGCGUAAAGGGCUCGUAGGCGGUCCGUCACGUCGGGAGUGAAAACUCGGGGCUCAACCCCGAGCCUGCUUCCGAUACGGGCGGACUAGAGGUAGGUAGGGGAGAACGGAAUUCCUGGUGUAGCGGUGGAAUGCGCAGAUAUCAGGAGGAACACCGGUGGCGAAGGCGGUUCUCUGGGCCUUACCUGACGCUGAGGAGCGAAAGCGUGGGGAGCGAACAGG